rnacentral:rRNA from 1 species
UACGGAGGGUGCGAGCGUUAAUCGGAAUUACUGGGCGUAAAGGGUGCGUAGGUGGUUGAUUAAGUUAUCUGUGAAAUUCCUGGGCUUAACCUGGGCAUGUCAGAUGAUACUGGUUGACUUGAGUAUAGGAGAGGGUAGUGGAAUUUCCGGUGUAGCGGUGAAAUGCGUAGAGAUCGGGAGGAACAUCAGUGGCGAAGGCGGCCAUCUGGGACAACACUGACGCUGAAGCACGAAAGCGUGGGGAGCAAACAGG